GGAAGACAGGUUAACACCAGGGACAGUGGUAAUACAGGAGACCAUGAUAGAGGUUAACACCAGGGACAGUGGUAAUACUGGGGACCAUGAUAGAGGUUAACACCAGGGACAGUGGUAAUACUGGGGACCAUGAUAGAGGUUAACACAAGGGACAGUAGUAAUACUGGGGACCAUAAUAUAGGUAAUACAGGGGACCAUGAUAGAGGUUAACACCAGGGAUAGUGGUAAUACUGGGGACCAUGAUAGAGGUAAUACAGGGGACCAUGAUAGAGGUUAACACCAGGGACAGUGGUAAUACUGGGGACCAUGAUAGAGGUUAACACCAGGGACAGUGGUAAUACUGGGGACCAUGAUAGAGGUUAGCACCAGGGACAGUGGUAAUACUGGGGACCAUGAUAGAGGUUAGCACCAGGGACAGUGGUAAUACUGGGGACCAUGAUAGAGGUUAACACCAGGGACAGUGGUAAUACUGGGGACCAUGAUAGAGGUAAUACAGGGGACCAUGAUAGAGGUUAACACCAGGGAUAGUGGUAAUACUGGGGACCAUGAUAGAGGUAAUACAGGGGACCAUGAUAGAGGUUAACACCAGGGACAGUGGUAAUACUGGGGACCAUGAUAGAGGUUAACACCAGGGACAGUGGUAAUACUGGGGACCAUGAUAGAAGUUAGCACCAGGGACAGUGGUAAUACUGGGGACCAUGAUAGAGGUUAACACCAGGGACAGUGGUAAUACUGGGGACCAUGAUAGAGGUUAGCACCAGGGACAGUGGUAAUACUGGGGACCAUGAUAGAGGUUAACACCAGGGACAGUGGUAAUACUGGGGACCAUGAUAGAGGUUAGCACCAGGGACAGUGGUAAUACUGGGGACCAUGAUAGAGGUUAACACCAGGGACAGUGGUAAUACAGGGGACCAUGAUAGAGGUUAACACCAGGGACAGUAGUAAUACAGGGGACCAUGAUAGAGGUUAACACCAGGGACAGUGGUAAUACUGGGGACCAUGAUAGAGGUUAACACCAGGGACAGUGGUAAUACUGGGGACCAUGAUAGAGGUUAACACCAGGGACAGUGGUAAUACUGGGGACCAUGAUAGAGGUUAGCACCAGGGACAGUGGUAAUACUGGGUACCAUGAUAGAGGUUAACACCAGGGACAGUGGUAAUACUGGGGACCAUGAUAGAGGUUAGCACCAGGGACAGUGGUAAUACUGGGUACCAUGAUAGAGGUUAACACCAGGGACAGUGGUAAUACUGGGGACCAUGAUAGAGGUUAACACCAGGGACAGUGGUAAUACUGGGGACCAUGAUAGAGGUUAGCACCAGGGACAGUGGUAAUACUGGGGACCAUGAUAGAGGUAAUACAGGGGACCAUGAUAGAGGUUAACACCAGGGACAGUGGUAAUACUGGGGACCAUGAUAGAGGUUAACACCAGGGACAGUGGUAAUACUGGGGACCAUGAUAGAGGUUAACACCAGGGACAGUGGUAAUACUGGGGACCAUGAUAAGAGGUUAGCACCAGGGACAGUAGUAAUACUGGGUACCAUGAUAGAGGUCAACACCAGGGACAGUGGUAACACUGGGGACCAUGAUAGAGGUUAGCACCAGGGACAGUGGUAAUACUGGGGACCAUGAUAGAGGUUAGCACCAGGGACAGUGGUAAUACUGGGGACCAUGAUAGAGGUUAACACCAGGGACAGUGGUAAUACUGGGGACCAUGAUAGAGGUUAACACCAGGGACAGUGGUAAUACUGGGGACCAUGAUAGAGGUUAGCACCAGGGACAGUGGUAAUACUGGGGACCAUGAUAGAGGUUAGCACCAGGGACAGUGGUAAUACUGGGGACCAUGAUAGAGGUUAACACCAGGGACAGUGGUAAUACUGGGGACCAUGAUAGAGGUUAACACCAGGGACAGUGGUAAUACAGGGGACCAUGAUAGAGGUUAACACCAGGGACAGUGGUAAUACUGGGGACCAUGAUAGAGGUAAUACAGGGGACCAUGAUAGAGGUUAACACCAGGGACAGUGGUAAUACUGGGGACCAUGAUAGAGGUUAACAACAGGGACAGUGGUAAUACUGGGGACCAUGAUAGAGGUUAACACCAGGGACAGUGGUAAUACAGGGGACCAUGAUAGAGGUUAACACCAGGGACAGUGGUAAUACUGGGGACCAUGAUAGAGGUUAACACCAGGGAUAGUGGUAAUACUGGGGACCAUGAUAGAGGUAAUACAGGGGACCAUGAUAGAGGUUAACACCAGGGACAGUGGUAAUACUGGGGACCAUGAUAGAGGUUAACACCAGGGACAGUGGUAAUACUGGGGACCAUGAUAGAGGUAAUACAGGGGACCAUGAUAGAGGUUAACACCAGGGACAGUAGUAAUACUGGGGACCAUAAUAUAGGUAAUACAGGGGACCAUGAUAGAGGUUAACACCAGGGAUAGUGGUAAUACUGGGGACCAUGAUAGAGGUAAUACAGGGGACCAUGAUAGAGGUUAACACCAGGGACAGUGGUAAUACUGGGGACCAUGAUAGAGGUUAACACCAGGGACAGUGGUAAUACUGGGGACCAUGAUAGAGGUUAACACCAGGGACAGUGGUAAUACUGGGGACCAUGAUAGAGGUUAACACCAGGGACAGUGGUAAUACUGGGUACCAUGAUAGAGGUCAACACCAGGGACAGUGGUAAUACUGGGGACCAUGAUAGAGGUUAACUGUUUGAUAUGGUCCCUGAGGGCCUCCUUACCUGAGCUGUUUGAUACGACCCCUGAGGGCCUCCUUACCUGAGCUGUUUGAUACGGCCCCUGAGGGCCUCCUACUCUGAGCUGUU